rnacentral:tRNA from 1 species
CCCUAGCCUUCCAAGCUUAACGAUGCGGGUUCGAUUCCCGCUACCCGCC